rnacentral:rRNA from 1 species
UUAGAGGAAGUAAAAGUCGUAACAAGGUUUCCGUAGGUGAACCUGCGGAAGGAUCAUUAUUGAAAUAAACCUGAUGAGUUGCUGCUGGUUCUCUAGGGAGCAUGUGCACACUUGUCAUCUUUAUAUCUCCACCUGUGCACCUUUUGUAGACCUGGAUAUCUCUCUGAAUGCUAGCCACUCAGGUUUGAGGAUUGACUUUAUGUCUCUCCUUGCAUUUCCAGGCCUAUGUUUCUUUAUAUACCCCAAUGUAUGUCAUAGAAUGUAAUCAAUGGGCCUUUGUGCCUAUAAACCUAUACAACUUUCAGCAACGGAUCUCUUGGCUCUCGCAUCGAUGAAGAACGCAGCGAAAUGCGAUAAGUAAUGUGAAUUGCAGAAUUCAGUGAAUCAUCGAAUCUUUGAACGCACCUUGCGCUCCUUGGUAUUCCGAGGAGCAUGCCUGUUUGAGUGUCAUUAAUAUAUCAACCUCUUCAACUUUUGUUUGUCGAGUGUUGGAUUUGGGGGUCCUUUUUUGCUGGCCUUCUCAAGGUCAGCUCCCCUGAAAUGUAUUAGCAGAACAUUUUGUGGAUCGUUCAUUGGUGUGAUAACUAUCUACGCUAUUGACGUGAAACAGUUCAGCUUCUAACAGUCCAUUGACUUGGACAAAUUUUCAUUAAUGUGACCUCAAAUCAGGUAGGACUACCCGCUGAACUUAAGC